GACGAACGCUGGCGGCGUGCUUAACACAUGCAAGUCGAACGGAAAGGCCCUGCUUGCAGGGUACUCGAGUGGCGAACGGGUGAGUAACACGUGGGUGAUCUGCCCUGCACUUCGGGAUAAGCCUGGGAAACUGGGUCUAAUACCGGAUAGGAGCCAUUUUUAGUGUGAUGGUUGGAAAGUUUUUUCGGUGUAGGAUGAGCUCGCGGCCUAUCAGCUUGUUGGUGGGGUAAUGGCCUACCCAGGCGGCGACGGGUAGCCGGCCUGCGAGGGUGGACGGCCACAUUGGGACUGAGAUACGGCCCAGACGCCGACGGGAGGCAGCAGUGGGGAAUAUUGCACAAUGGGCGCAAGCCUGAUGCAGCGACGCCGCGUGGGGGAUGACGGCCUUCGGGUUGUAAACUCCUUUCGCGAGGGACGAAGCUUUUUGUGACGGUACCUAGAUAAGAAGCACCGGCUAACUACGUG
rnacentral:rRNA from 1 species